GGUUGUUGCUGGCUCUCCGGAGUAUGUGCACACUUGUCUUGAUUUCAUUUCAUCCACCUGUGCACCAUUUGUAGUCUUGGGAAUGGAUAUGAGCAGCCAAUCUCUCAGGAAGUCAUAUUCCUGGAUGUGAGGACUGCAGUGUGAAAACACGGCUUUUCCUCUGCUGGCUGUGAAUGUCUGCUUGGGACUAUGUAUUUAUUCAUAUACCACAUAGUAUGUUGUAGAAUGUAUCACAUGGGCCAUUUGUGCCUAUAGAAUGUAUAUACAACUUUCAGCAACGGAUCUCUUGGCUCUCGCAUCGAUGAAGAACGCAGCGAAAUGCGAUAAGUAAUGUGAAUUGCAGAAUUCAGUGAAUCAUCGAAUCUUUGAACGCACCUUGCGCUCCUUGGCAUUCCGAGGAGCAUGCCUGUUUGAGUGUCAUUAAAUUCUCAACUCCUCCAGCUCUUUUGUAGCUGGCUUUGGAGCUUGGAUCAUGGAGGUUGCUGGCUGCCUUGUAUUGGUUGGUCAGCUCCUCUGAAAAUGCAUUAGCGGAACCAUUUGCAAUCU
rnacentral:rRNA from 1 species